rnacentral:rRNA from 1 species
GACAGAGGGUGCAAACGUUGUUCGGAAUUACUGGGCGUAAAGCGCGUGUAGGCGGCUCUGAAAGUCGGAUGUGAAAGCCCUGGGCUUAACCUAGGAAGUGCAUUCGAAACUUCAGAGCUUGAGUUCUGGAGAGGAAGGCGGAAUUCUCGGUGUAGAGGUGAAAUUCGUAGAUAUCGAGAGGAACACCGGUGGCGAAGGCGGCUCACUGGCCCGGUACUGACGCUGACGGUGCGGAAAAGCGUGGGGGAGCAAACAGGG